CAAUAUUUCUGAAGUCUCACUUUCCCAAUAUUUCUGGAGUCUCACUUUCCCAAUAUUUCUGGAGUCUCAAUGUCCCAAUAUUUCUGGAGUCUCACUUUCCCAAUAUUUCUGGAGUCUCACUUUCCCAAUAUUUCUGGAGUCUAUUUCCCAAUAUUUCUGGAGUCUCACUUUCCCAAUAUUUCUGGAGUCUUCUCAUUUCCCCAAUAUUUCUGGAGUCUCACUUUCCCGAUAUUUCUGGAGUCUCAUUUUCACAAUAUUUCUGGAGUCUCAUUUUCACAAUAUUUCUGGAGUCUCACUGUCCCGAUAUUUCUGGAGUCUCAUUUUCCCGAUAUUUCUGGAGUCUCAUUUUCACGAUAUUUCUGGAGUCUCAUUUUCCCGAUAUUUCUGGAGUCUCACUGUCCCGAUAUUUCUGGAGUCUCACUUUCCCGAUAUUUCUGGAGUCUCAUUUUCCCGAUAUUUCUGGAGUCUCACUUUCCCAAUAUUUCUGGAGUCUCACUGUCCCAAUAUUUCUGGAGUCUCACUGUCCCAAUAUUUCUGGAGUCUCACUGUCCCAAUAUUUCUGGAGUCUCACUGUCCCAAUAUUUCUGGAGUCUCACUUUCCCAAUAUUUCUGGAGUCUAUUUCCCAAUAUUUCUGGAGUCUAUUUCCCAAUAUUUCUGGAGUCUCACUUUCCCAAUAUUUCUGGAGUCUUCUCAUUUCCCCAAUAUUUCUGGAGUCUCACUUUCCCGAUAUUUCUGGAGUCUCAUUUUCACAAUAUUUCUGGAGUCUCACUGUCCCGAUAUUUCUGGAGUCUCACUUUCCCGAUAUUUCUGGAGUCUCAUUUUCCCGAUAUUUCUGGAGUCUCACUGUCCCGAUAUUUCUGGAGUCUCACUUUCCCAAUAUUUCUGGAGUCUCACUUUCCCAAUAUUUCUGGAGUCUCACUGUCCCAAUAUUUCUGGAGUCUCACUGUCCCAAUAUUUCUGGAGUCUCACUUUCCCAAUAUUUCGGGAGUCUCACUUUCCCAAUAUUUCUGGAGUCUCAUUUUCCCAAUAUUUCGGGAGUCUCACUUUCCCAAUAUUUCGGGAGUCUCACUUUCCCAAUAUUUCGGGAGUCUCACUUUCCCAAUAUUUCGGGAGUCUCACUUUCCCAAUAUUUCGGGAGUCUCACUUUACCAAUAUUUCGGGAGUCUCACUUUCCCAAUAUUUCGGGAGUCUCACUUUCCCAAUAUUUCGGGAGUCUCACUUUCCCAAUAUUUCGGGAGUCUCACUUUCCCAAUAUUUCGGGAGUCUCACUUUCCCAAUAUUUCUGGAGUCUCCUUAUCCCAAUAUUUCUGGAGUCUCCUUAUCCCAAUAUUUCUGGAGUCUCCUUAUCCCAAUAUUUCUGGAGUCUCACUUUCCCAAUAUUUCUGGAGUCUCACUUUCCCAAUAUUUCUGGAGUCUCACUUUCCCAAUAUUUCUGGAGUCUCACUUUCCCAAUAUUUCUGGAGUCUUCUCAUUUCCCCAAUAUUUCUGGAGUCUCACUUUCCCAAUAUUUCUGGAGUCUCAUUUUCCCAAUAUUUCUGGAGUCUCAUUUUCCCAAUAUUUCUGGAGUCUCACUUUCCCAAUAUUUCUGGAGUCUCCUUAUCCCAAUAUUUCUGAAGUCUCAUUUUCCCAAUAUUUCUGGAGUCUCACUUUCCCAAUAUUUCUGGAGUCUCCUUAUCCCAAUAUUUCUGGAGUCUCCUUAUCCCAAUAUUUCUGGAGUCUCCUUAUCCCAAUAUUUCUGGAGUCUCACUUUCCCAAUACUUCUGGAGUCUCACUUUCCCAAUAUUUCUGGAGUCUCACUGUCACAAUAUUUCUGGAGUCUCACUUUCCCAAUAUUUCUGGAGUCUCACUUUCCCAAUAUUUCUGGAGUCUCACUUUCCCAAUAUUUCUGGAGUCUCACUUUCCCAAUAUUUCUGGAGUCUCACUUUCCCAAUAUUUCUGGAGUCUCACUUUCCCAAUAUUUCUGGAGUCUCACUUUCCCAAUAUUUCUGGAGUCUCACUUUCCCAAUAUUUCUGGAGUCUCACUUUCCCAAUAUUUCUGGAGUCUCACUUUCCCAAUAUUUCUGGAGUCUCACUUUCCCAAUAUUUCUGGAGUCUCACUUUCCCAAUAUUUCUGGAGUCUCACUUUCCCAAUAUUUCUGGUGUCUCACUUUCCCAAUAUUUCUGGAGUCUCACUUUCCCAAUAUUUCUGGAGUCUCACUGUCCCAAUAUUUCUGGAGUCUCAUUUUCCCAAUAUUUCUGGAGUCUCACUUUCCCAAUAUUUCUGGAGUCUCACUUUCCCAAUAUUCCAAAAUGGCGGAUUAUUUCUGACUUACCAGUUCCGCUGAAAUCCGGGAUCAUCUUUCCCACCAGGACGUAAAUGUUGCCAGAAGUAGUCUUCAGGUGUUUUGUUGAGAUUCGCUUUGCAAUAAGGUUGCUGUGCCAGGGCAUCUUGUUGUCCCUUGGUGGAAAGCAUAGAGGCAUACUAAGUAAGUGAAUCAAUGUUUGCUUUUACAAAAAUAAUGUGUUAGUGAACUUCAUAUGAUUCCGAGAAACAAAUUCUACUUACUCACGGACACCAUCCACAUAAAACAUGUCGUUCCUACUCUUCAGGAGCCAGUGUCUAAGGUGAAUCCCUGUAACCUAUCAAGCAAUAGACAUUAAAUAGUUAUAUAGGUAGAUAUCUAUGGUUAUGCAAGUCCUGAUAGAAAACUUAAGUGCCAUACAAGAAAACAUUACCUCCCAGCAAAAAUACAAAGCUAAAAGCAAUGAACUCAGAGGAAACAGCAUCAGUCAUCAGCCUACAAAUCCAAAGGAAGCAGCAUCAUCAAAACCAUCUACUUACAUUGGAUCCAGUGGACUCUGCUAUGUGCUUGGCUUGGAAUACAGCCUCCUGCUUCUUGGGGAUGGAGAUCUUCGGUGAGACCUGCAGGAGGGGGUCGUGCACCAGGUCUGGGAAGGGCCUGGGGGGAGGCUUGUCACGGUAAACCUCACACUGACUGAGGCCGGCAUCUGGCCUCAAUGGAAUGCUGGUCUCUGAUAGACCAGUGGGCACACUACAGGUCACGUUCACACCGGUGUCCUCUCCGGUGCCCCCGGCGGGUUGUGCAGGGGUCGACACGCUGCGCUCACAUCCUGUAAAGAGGUUGAUAUUUUGUUUGUUGAGUCGACAUCACAGGUUGAUAACAGUUCACUUAUGGUGCUUGAGUCAUUAGAAUCAGAAUAACAGUCCCUACUCUACAUUUCUAGCUGUCACCUUUCAUGGGAUCCUGCAGGCUGCUCACUUGAUAGCCGUCUUGUUGGUCCCUUUUUAGUCUUCUCUCUUUCAGAAGAGCAAACGUUUUUGCUCUAGAAUCCAGGCAUGGCAGUCUAUCCAAAACAACUUCGGACCCUGGGCAGAAAACAGAAACAAAUCAUUUUACUUCUCAAAGUCAUAAAUUAAAGUAUUCUGACAACCAAGCAACCUUGAUUGACACAAUAAUUUAGGAUAAUUGAAACAACUUACUUAAAACUGAUUCAUCGUGUACAAUGUUGUGUGCCCCAAUUUCAAAUUUUUCCAUUGACUUCAACCUUUUCACUGGUGUACUUAUGUUGGUUGUCUGGGAGACACGUUUGAAGUCUUUGAGGGGUGCUGGUUGUUGGGUGUCAUUUGAGCUGAGCAGAGUGUGCGGGUAUGACAAAGCUUUCCUUUGGGACUUUGUUGAGAAAGCAUCCAGAGCUGGGCCUUGCUUUUGUGCAUUUAUGUUGGUUGGCUUGAACGCACUACUACCCAUGUCUUUCAACGGUGACUGUCGUUGAAGGUCUUGUGGGUGGACCAUAAAGUGUGAAUGUGUCAAACCCUUGCUUGGCGAUUGAAAAGGUGAAAGGGUCUCUGCCUCAUAAGUGAAUUCAAGGUCCUCGGUUUCCUUUUGUUCAUAGUUCACCCAAUGCUGAUGUCGUUUUCUAGGCGAGCUCAUUACUCCACCAUGUUCUUCUUGGAUUCGCUUUUCUCUGACAUGUUUUUCUCUCACGGGGUUAGGCGUUUUGGUCCUCUCGUUCUCAACCGGUAUUAUCUCUGCCUGUACUCUAGCUUUCAUCCUCGCAAAUACCUUGGCUGGGCUUUCAACGGGUUCCCUGGAUAUCAGCUCGCUUGUCACAAAAGCCUUCAAUGCAGGGAAAAUAAUUCGGUCUCUACCAACUGGAUCUUCUUCAUGAAAACAAGUUGCUUCUCUGUUGUGUCUUGACGGAGUAAACAUGUUUUCACCAUCGAUUUUUUACGAUAUGUAGAGGAAUGUCAACUGGAGCCACUGAAGUAAACUAGCUAACUAUAUGCAACCACGAUCUGAUCAUUUCAAAAUGGUCCAUUGAUUGCUGGUUUCUAUGGGGGGGAAACAGAAGAUAAUUAUUUAUUUGCUGGAAUCUGGUUAUACUAGGCUAGCUGGCUGCUAUAGCUUACAACGUAGUGUCGUUGAAUUACGAGGUAGUAACAAAGUGACCAGCAGCUAGUUUACCCAGCAAGCUACUAACUAGCUAGCUAACUUUAGCUAAAAACUGAAAGCCUACGACUAGAUAACCAGCUAACAACGUUAGCCAGCUUGCUGCUAAAAUGACAUAUGCCGUUUCAAAUGUAAAUUGUUUGGUUGGCGCUUACUACGGAUUUACUCAAUAUGUAUUCUAUAUUACAUACUAUUUGUGAAUGUAUGCAUUGAUUAUAAACUGUAAAAUCGCUAACUAACGUUACUCACCGCAGAGAUCCAUAAUUUGAAUUUACCUCGAAUGUCCUGUGAUUGGUCGGCGAUUUCAUAUGCGUCACUUCCGCAAACAACUUCCGUUCACCGAGAUGGCCUUAGAACGUGCUGCCAAAAAGAAAAACAAAAUGUGCGCAUAUAGUCGUAUAAUGUAGUGGGAUGUUUACUGUUAAACGAUUUUUCCUGCGGAUGCCUGCAGGAAAGAAGAACAACAUUGCAGCAAUUGCUUAGAUAUGGCAUUUCGUACGGUUGGAGAUGCACAGCUACCUUCGGAGAUAUGGGUCCACGUGUUUGGAUAUCUGUCAACGACAGACAAACUAAACAUUAGAUCAUGCUGCAAAUAUUUCAAAAAGAUGGUUGACCACUGGUCCCUUUGGAAAGGCAACACAGUGGUUCUUAAAAAGCUGUGUGCCUACACCUCGCAGUUCUGGACAACUCUUCGCCGCAGGAAAAUCAGCUCAGUUGUUGUACAGAAGGCAAGUUUGAAAGAAUGGAAACAGCUUGCCCUAUCACUCCCUUGGCUCACCACAAUAGCCGUGGAGCAUUGUUUCGACGUGAAAGCCUUUGAAAUUCUCAAGCAAUUUCAUAACUUGAAGAGGCUGGCUAUUCGCAGGUGUCGCUAUGGCCAGGGACUGUCUGAUGCAAUUGUGCCUCUGCAGCAAGUGACUCAUUUUAGUGUGUGCGAGAUGCACUGUGCUCCAAGAUCAGAUAUUAUUAGUGCUGUCUCAAAGCUCUCCCAUCUGACGUCUCUAUUCUAUCACGAAGGCAAUCAUCCUAUCCCAAGACAGAUAUUCCACCUAAUGCUUAACCGCUUGCCACAUCUGAAGCAUCUGUCUUUGAAAAUGGGAACACAACAUGGCUCUCUCCCAGAUGAUUAUUUUAAUAUUUCUAAAACAAAUGGCUUUCCAGAAGAUCCGCAGGUCGGCCAACCUGGCUUGACCAGUCUGGAGCUUCUUGACUACAUGGACCCCACCUUACCUGAAGAGGCGCUGAAGUGCCUCCCCUCCCUGCAGAGUCUAGCUGUGGACUACAGAGACAGGGAUGUGGAUCCCAGCAGGUGCCACCUGAAAACAUGGCUGAGGGAACUCCCUCAACUGGGAGUUCUCAACAUUGCAAAAGGCCAUCCCGUCAGUGCUUAUGCUCACUCCAUUCCCAACACAGUGACCAGUUUAACUCUGCAGCAGGUGAUGGUGGAGCAGAUGGACAUGAAGGCUCUAGGGAAACAGGCUUCAGGCCUCUUGUAUCUGCACUUUGAUCCAUGCAGCUAUAACAGCAGCAGCAGCAUCGGAGAGAUCCCCAAACUAUUCCCCCAGCUCAUGACCCUUAAAAUGAGACACUAUAAUGUACCAGAGCGGGAGUUCUUGAGCCUCCAACAGUUGAAGCAUUUGGAGCAGUUGGAGAUCCUUGAUGGACACAGUCUUAGUCCGCACCUUCUGCAGCUGAUCCGCAAGCUGCAGGUCCUGACCAACCACAGAACCCAAAUCAUCCAUUCUCUGGGCCCGAGAGAUCCCACAACCUGCUACUGUACUCACUACUAACAUUACGACUAAGAGGAAGUGAACACUGGUAGACUGUAGCCCAUGUUUUCAACAGCACAUGUUUAACAUUUGAAAUUAUACAAAACUGCUUGCUCAUCAUUUGAGGUACGUUUGCGAUGCCAACUUGGCUGAUGCAAAAUAAGGAAACAGCUGAAAUGUUGGUAAGUUUGGUAAGUCAAUACCUCUGAAGUCAGUAGUCAGACUCUUUGUAUAGAGCAAAACAACAAACAGUUCAUAACACAGGAAUAGCCAUUUUAUGCCAUACUUUUUGUUUGAAUCUGUUGUGUACCCUUGAUUGGGUUAAACAGAAUAAAUGAUUGUGCACAAAAAAACAACUUUUUUGAAAGAAAAUACAAUUGACAAUACAAUUAGCUUAUCAGUUUUAAGAUUGAUUAAAGAAACAUGUUACAGUUGAAA